CCUCUAUAUACCAAACCGAACCUAUUAUAAAGAAAGGUGGUGGGUAUAACUCCGGCCACCGAUUUUAGCGGAGAAAACGUUGAGUCUCAACGUCCAUUAAGAGGUGGUCGGAUUUUUGUAGCAUUUUAUCGCCGGAUUGCGUUUAUAAGGUUGUGUGCUAAUAUUUGAGGGUCGACAUAUUUCGGUGUUGAUCGGAUUUGCAAUAGGUAUAUCCAUCCGCUAACCUUUUGUUAGUAUAAUUAAUUAUCAAUGCGUGCUUAGUUGAGUUUGAAUAUCUUAAAUAUUCAUCCGUAGUGAAGUAGGUUCUACGAAUACAUGUACUGCGGUCGGAUGGGUGGAUAAAUUUUGUAUUGUUUAUGUUAGUUUCUUUGUUCUGUAUUGUUAUAUUUGUUUUGUUUGUUACUUUAGGCACUUUUAAAAUUUUU